GAUACAGACAUAGACACCAAUGUGGACUUGUUUGACCCACCUCAGGCUUCACGAUCAACUGACCUCUGCCAAGAGGCAAGUGAAGAAGAGGAGAGUCUACUGAUGGAUCAAUCCAGAUCCAGUGUUAACAUGCAACAGGAAGUGAUGGAUGCUCUGAAAGAAAUACCAGCCUUAGUCAAGUGUGUCACAGAUCUUAUUACAACCAUGAAGAGAAUG